rnacentral:rRNA from 1 species
GACGAACGCUGGCGGUGUGCUUAACACAUGCAAGUCGAACGGUAAGGCCCUUUCGGGGGUACACGAGUGGCGAACGGGUGAGUAACACGUGAGUAACCUGCCCUCAUCUCUGGGAUAACAGUCGGAAACGGUUGCUAAUACUGGAUAUGAGCUUGCAAGGCAUCUUGUGGGUUGGAAAGAUUUUUUUGGUUGGGGAUGGACUCGCGGCCUAUCAGCUUGUUGGUGAGGUAGUGGCUCACCAAGGCUUCGACGGGUAGCCGGCCUGAGAGGGCGACCGGCCACAUUGGGACUGAGAUACGGCCCAAACUCCUACGGGAGGCAGCAGUGGGGAAGAUUGCACAAUGGACGGAAGUCUGAUGCAGCAACGCCGCGUGCGGGAGGACGGCCUUCGGGUUGUAAACCGCUUUCAAUUGUGACGAAGCUUUUUGUGACGGUAGCAGUAGAAGAAGCACCGGCUAACUACGUG